UACAGAGGGUGCGAGCGUUGUCCGGAAUUAUUGGGCGUAAAGAGCGUGUAGGCGGUUCGGUAAGUCUGCUGUGAAAUCCUGGGGCUCAACCCUGGGCGUGCAGCGGAUACUGCCGGGCUAGAGGGUGGUAGAGGCGAGUGGAAUUCCGAGUGUAGCGGUGAAAUGCUCAGAUAUUCGGAGGAACACCAGUAGCGAAGGCGGCUCGCUGGGCCUCAACUGACGCUGAGACGCGAAAGCGUGGGGAGCGAACAGG
rnacentral:rRNA from 1 species